AUGGCAGGGACCCAUCCCAAGUGGAGAUGCCCCACACCAAAAGAGACUCUCACAUGCCAACCUCAGACUCCAUUUCCCUGUUUUCUGUCCAUGCAUUUACAACCAUCAUUCAGCUGGGAAAUUAAUUCUCCAUCUCUAAGAAGUACUUGCACCCUCAAAGCCAUUUCCAGCCUUUGUGCUGCUCGUUCCCCUUUCUUUGGCAGGUUAAUGAAGGAGGCAGUGGCAGGGUGGCUCACAGGAUCCCCUUCCCGUCCUUCCCGGGCCGGCAGCGACUGCGGGCAGCCAGGAACGGAGGUGGGGAGCUCUGCUGGGAAGCAUGCCAGUGCGGCACUUCCUUCGUUUUGCAACCUCGACCAUAACCUUGUGGGAAUGAGGAUCAGGUGUUCCCGGCUGAUCUCAUCUGGUUCAGG
rnacentral:lncRNA from 1 species